rnacentral:misc_RNA from 1 species
AAGUCGUAACAAGGUUUCCGUAGGUGAACCUGCGGAAGGAUCAUUACCGAGUUAGGGUUCUCUUCGCGAGGCCCGACCUCCCAACCCUGUGUCUAUCAUACCUUCUUGUUGCUUCGGCGGACCGGACGCGGCCAACUGGUCGCGACCGCCGGGCGUUCACCCGCCUGGAGAGCCGUCCGCCGAUGGCCCAAAUCAAAACUCUUGUACCAAAACAUGUCGCCUGAAUUAUUUCUUGAUAUUAAUCAAAAACAAAACUUUCAACAACGGAUCUCUUGGUUCUG